rnacentral:rRNA from 1 species
GCAAGUCGAACGCGAAAUUUUUUCUUCGGAGAAGAGAGUAGAGUGGCGCACGGGUGAGUAACGCGUAAGUAAUCUACCCUGGCAUCUGGAAUAACUCACCGAAAGGUGUGCUAAUACCGGAUACGUUGAUUUAUCAAGAAAGGUGGCCUCUGUUUCAUGCUACUGUGCUGGGAGGAGCUUGCGUACCAUUAGCUAGUUGGUAGGGUAACGGCCUACCAAGGCAACGAUGGUUAGCGGGUCUGAGAGGAUGAGC